AGUCUGAAUAGGGCGUUUAGUAUUUGGUCGUAGACCCGAAACCAGGUGAUCUACCCUUGGUCAGGUUGAAGUUCAGGUAACACUGAAUGGAGGACCGAACCGACUUACGUUGAAAAGUGAGCGGAUGAACUGAGGGUAGCGGAGAAAUUCCAAUCGAACCUGGAGAUAGCUGGUUCUCUCCGAAAUAGCUUUAGGGCUAGCCUCAAGUGAUGAUUAUUGGAGGUAGAGCACUGUUUGGACGAGGGGCCCCUCUCGGGUUACCGAAUUCAGACAAACUCCGAAUGCCAAUUAAUUUAACUUGGGAGUCAGAACAUGGGUGAUAAGGUCCGUGUUCGAAAGGGAAACAGCCCAGACCACCAGCUAAGGUCCCAAAAUAUAUGUUAAGUGGAAAAGGAUGUGGCGUUGCCCAGACAACUAGGAUGUUGGCUUAGAAGCAGCCAUCAUUUAAAGAGUGCGUAAUAGCUCACUAGUCGAGUGACACUGCGCCGAAAAUGUACCGGGGCUAAACAUAUUACCGAAGCUGUGGAUUGUCCUUUGGACAAUGGUAGGAGAGCGUUCUAAGGGCGUUGAAGCAUGAUCGUAAGGACAUGUGGAGCGCUUAGAAGUGAGAAUGCCGGUGUGAGUAGCGAAAGACGGGUGAGAAUCCCGUCCACCGAUUGACUAAGGUUUCCAGAGGAAGGCUCGUCCGCUCUGGGUUAGUCGGGUCCUAAGCUGAGGCCGACAGGCGUAGGCGAUGGAUAACAGGUUGAUAUUCCUGUACCACCUAUAAUCGUUUUAAUCGAUGGGGGGACGCAGUAGGAUAGGCGAAGCGUGCGAUUGGAUUGCACGUCUAAGCAGUAAGGCUGAGUAUUAGGCAAAUCCGGUACUCGUUAAGGCUGAGCUGUGAUGGGGAGAAGACAUUG
rnacentral:rRNA from 1 species